rnacentral:misc_RNA from 1 species
AUGAGAACAUGCCCUAACGGGUAGAUCUCCCACCCUAUGUUAUUAUCACCUUUGUUGCUUUGGCGGGCCGUCAGGCCUCGGUCAGACUACCGGCUCUUGCUGGUAAGUGCCCGCCAGAGGACCUUAAAACUCUGAAUAUUAGUGUCGUCUGAGUACUAUAUAAUAGUUA